UAAAACACAAUAAACUGCAUUCAGUUGGAAAGUGAGAUGGUGUGAUGCAGUUUAUUUGAGAUGAUAUGAUGAUAAUUCUUGAUUGAUAAUAAACGUAACCAUAUCUGUUAGAUAUUCUGUGCUGUUGCUAAGCAAAUUAUCUUCUCAAAUCACUUUACAUUAAAGUUCUUUAGAAAGUGGGAACAGUUCCAGGCUGUUUUCUUUCAGUUGUUGUAAAUGGCUUUUGUCUUGUUCCAAACCAAGCUAAAACCCAGUGAGUGAGUGAUUCAAACUAAUGUUUGGAUUUCCAGACUGUAAUUAUACAGAUUAAGUAAGGCCACUGACGAGAACCAGAUGUCAGCGGAUAUUGCUCAAAGCUUGCGGAGUAUCACUCAUUCAUCAUUCUGGAUGACUGUAUUGGUGACUGAACCCACCCUGAUCUUACAGCUGAUGAGUAUAUAAACUGUAGGAACCCAGAAGCAGAGAUACUGGAAUAAGUGGACCGAGCACUGAAGCAAGGAUGUGGACGUUGAGAACAGCACUGCUGGUGUCCCUCUUAGCAUUUGUUUUUUCCAAACCAUUUUAUCCAUGGAAUGGAAAUAGACGUCUGGCAAUAAACAGGGCAUUUCAGGACUCUGACUCCGUGGAAUCAAACGAAUCAAGCAACAGCUCAGACUCGGAUGAUUCAAAUUCAUCUUCUGAAUCUGAUACGUCUAAAUCCAGUGAAUCUAGUGGUUUGGAUACUAGCCACUCUGAAUCCAAUGAGUCUGCAUUGUCGGAAGAGAAUUUUCUCACCACUGCUGAACCAGAGAUCACGAGCAGUAUAACUGUACUACCACCAUUGCCCACACAAGGACACGUCACCUGUUUUACUCUACACCUGGAAACUGAGCCUAGAGGAGACAACUUUUAGUUGCUGUACCUUAAAGCUUAACAUAGUCAAGUGAAUAUUUCGUUUUUACCAUUUAGUGAUUUGCUGGUCCUAUCAGGCAGUUUAAAUUUCUAAAAGAAAUGUUCCUGAAUGUCCUAUAAAUGCAUAUAUGAGACACUUUUGAUUUUAUUUCAUUUUAUUUAGAUUUUUCUUUGGUUCAUUGCACCUUACUGACUUUUAUAUACUGAUUUUACAUAGCAGUAUUAUACCAAAGGUAAUAUAUAUUCUGAGUAUUCUACACUACGCAUGAGUGGUAGAAUCAAAUAUUUACAGUGCACCUUUGAUCUGUUAUGUUACAUUAAAUAAAAUUGUGAAACCAUUUACCAUUAGUGACGAGAGUCAAAUGUUCUGUUC